GUCCGGCCAUUGUUGCCUUCUGAGGUGUAGAGAAGGCGCUGGCGUUGGGACGCUGGGGGUCAGGGGGCGUCCCAAGGGCCUUUUGUGUCACCAGCAGAGUGUUGCCGAGUGGGCAGUGGUUUGCCCAGUGACGGGGACGGCGGCUGUGGCCCCUCACCCGGCACCGCGCCCCCCCUUUAUUCACUGACUUCUGGGAGCAGCGGGAGUUUUCCUGAGGAGACUCUCUAGAGAGACGUGGAGGGGGGCGUCAGUCUCGGGAGGGCGCUGGCCCGGUCCCCGCCACCAUACAGGGUCCCCCAGCACGGUCGGAGCGAUCACCUCGAAAUCUCCAAAGAAACCCGGGUGUGAGAAGCAGCGUGGGGCCGGGGAGGAACAUGAGCUCUGACACAGAAUGUUCCUUGAUGUGGCCGUAAGCUUCACCCCCAAAGAAGAACGUGCCUGCAUGCUGCCUUCAGAGGAAGCUCUAUGGGGACUUGAUGCUGUAGACCUGCCAGCACCUGCAGGCUGUUGCUGGGAACCAUGUGUGGCCGACUUUCCUGGAAGAUCCACUGGGGCUCCUGUCAGGAAUUUCUAUUCUCACACGUCAAGAAGCAAAGCCUCUGUCACUUCAAAUCUCCCUGAUCUGGUGACUCCCGGAGACUGCCCACUGGGUCAGGAAUUUGAAUUUUUAUUCUCACACGUCAAGAAGCGAAGCCCCUCUCAUUUCAGAUCUCCCUGAUCUGGUGACUCCCGGAGACUGCCCACUGGUUCCCAUUUUGUUGUUGCCGUACUUCUGCGCCACACCCUAAAGUGCUCAGGCCUUACUCCUGACUCUGAACUGAGGAAUCACUGCUGCCAGUCGCCCAUAAGCUUUGCAUGGGUACUGGUCUUGGGUCUUGCACAGAGCUUAUUUCAGAUCCUCAGGAAUUAGAGAUGGGAAGAUGGUGACACGCUUUCUGAUUCACUGUCCACAGAAAAAUAAUUUCUGCUUCACCUGUCAGGUUUCAGAGCAAUCUCUCAUUGACGGAGGUAUUUCUCCCGGACCAGAGGCUGCCCCUUCUGUUCUGGUGAUUCCCUGGACCCACGUGCUGAUCCUUGGGAAUUACAGAAGCUGCAGACAAUGUUGAAGAGCCAUCUGAUACACUGUUCCCAGGUUGGAGGAGAACAAUGUGGUGACAUGAUGCAGUGACAGGCAGAAAGGAAAUCGUAGCUUCAGGGGUUUUCACUGCAACAAUUUGAUUUGGGAAUUGAGUCACCAAAAACGAGUGAAUUGGGAAGCAGCCAGCCCUAGUGGAAUGUCUCUGAUCCUGCACUGUGUGACAGUGUCUCAGAGUGAGCAAUCUCGCCCUCUGCCCCAUGGGGAUGCCGAGACAGGCCUAAUGUCUUCUGAGGGUGAUCAGAGUGGAGAGAUCAACCUCACAGUGAAGAAGCUUUCCCCUGGGAAAAACUCCUCACAGUCUGUUCUCCUCAGUUUCUGGACACAAACCCCUCAAGGCAGAAGCCCCAGGACAGUGGGAGAGGAGCACCGUUUAUGAAAGAGUCAUUCUGGAGAGAAACCAUAUUCAUGUCAGGACUGUGGAAACGUCUUUGCUUAUCACUCAAGCCUUUCUGUGCACAAGGAUAAUCACACUGGAGAGAAACAGUGACUGAAAUCAUCAGUAUGGAGUGGCCUCUGAAGAUCACUUAGAAGUAUGGAAUGCUGAGAAAGAGCUGUCUGGACCUGAUGCUAGACUUUGGUAGCUGAAUGAUGCUGGGGAGAGUUACCAGAUCCUCAUUUAGAUAGGAAGGCUGUGAGCAGAGGUGAUCUAAAUGGCAAGUUUAAGAUACAUGAAACUUAAAAGCGGUGAUAAAAUUGAGUGAUGUUCAGUAACAUCUCUGUAAUAUGAAUAAAAAUAUUGUGAUACGAUGCAAAGUCAAGGCAGAGAUAAUGCUAAUA